AACAUCUCAACAUGCAAUUAGCUUUUAUUUAAUCAAAAUCAGCAACCAACAUUCCUCCCAUUCCUCCUAACAUUCUGAUCCAAGCUAUACGUUCUUAUGCUUGAAUUAUAAUUCACUGAUUCCAGCUUUCCAAAUCAGUUUCCAAGAUUUCCCAAAACAAGAAAGAGAUCCAAUUUUGGUGAAUUCAGAAAGAAGAUUUUCCUCAUUUCCUACUCAUAUCAAGGUCCGGGCGACAGAAAGUGAAGCAGAAGAAGAAACGACUCCACGCCAGCUUUAAGAACAAUUGAGGUUGAGCAGGCGAUGGAAUGGAUUGGUGUUGAGCGGAUUUCUCUUUUGAUGUUUAUGUAAUGAAACCUUGAGUAUGCAUCUCCAUAUGCAUAACUCACACGUUUUUCCGCUGCAAACACUCUGAAUUUGUUAUCGUAUUGUGGAACUUAUUACUCCUUCAUUUUGUUUAACUUUCAUUUGGGGUUUAGUCGUUAUGGCUGGCUCGUUUCUUAAUUACCCAAGUGGUUAUAUAUAUAUAUAUAUACCACUAGUUUGUUGUUAUUAAUGUUGGUUAUUUAGUAAAUCCCUUUUAAAUUUCCAUUUUUUUUAUUGUUCACCCAAGUCAUAACCCCGGUUAACCCGUCAUUGGGAUAGUGGGCUGUGACAGAGUGGUAUCAGAGCAGCUCGUUUGCUCUGGCCCUAGAAACCAUUUUCUAA